AUAAUACCUUUAGAGACUAAACGACUCUUGAUGAGCCACAUGGUGCUCACAUAUAUUUCUGCAUGGUUCUAACUUCUAACCUUCAUGGAACUUUCUCAAUUAAAAUUUAUAAACUUAUUUUACGAAAAAUAAUUCACUCGUUUCACAAAAUGAGUCCCCAUUUAAUUUCUCAUAUUUUAUUAUCAAAACAAAUUUUAUUUCUUUAAAUAGUAAUAUAAAACGACAUAGUAUAUCCUCAAGUAAGUCAUCAUUUUAUUACUACGAGAGACUCGAAUCAAGUUAAUCAAACUAUCACAAUGUUCGCAAAUGAUAAUCUUUUAAUAGAACCGACAGAAUACUAAUAAGGGUCUUCGAAAUGACGAAGUCUGGCUUUUUGCAGGGUAUACUUUAUACGUAUAUACCAAUAAUUUCUCGAGUUGCAACUAAUCACAUUUAAGAAGUUAUUAAACUUUAAAUUUGCAAGUGAGUUUUAAAGCAUAAGAGUGACUAACAUGAAGAACAAGCAGCUAAACAAAUUUCAGCACAACAACUUCCAAAGCAUUCACACAAGGAGCUUAACCAAGAGCAACCAUCAUCGGCACAACAACAACAUUCGCAGCAGCAAGCAGUGACACAUGCGCCAACCGACUCGCCUAUACAAAUGUUACAACUGCAAAUGUAUAUUUUUUUUAAAGAAAAAACUAAAAGGAAUCUUAGUGAAAAUAAUUAGAUGAAAAAUAAAUACAUAUAUACCAAUAAAUUCUUGAGUUGACGUGUUCAGUUUUUUCCACUGACAUUUGUUGCAUUACUGGCGCCGCCAUUGUUUUGUUCAAAGUGUCAAAUUCGUGAAUUCAGAGCCAGAGCCACUCUAAAAUAUCAAAACUUAAAAGUGAAUAUAGUAAUAAAUAAAUUUACAUAAUUAUAAAGUUAGAUGUUAAUUUUUUGAUAUAUUAUUCUCUAUUCUACAAAAUGGUCUUAUUUGUCAAUGUUUUUGUUUCAAAUCGACACUGGCUGAUCUAUUUAAAGGGCAGAAUAGGCCGUGCUUAUGUUGAACUUUUUUUUAUAUAUGUAUAGGAAUAGGGGCAAAAAUAAAAUUUAAUAAACUUAAGGGACAGAUUUAUGAAAAAGUUAAAUUUAACGGGUAAAAAAAUAUUUUAAACUACUACUAUAAAAAAAACUCAACCCACGGUAUAUAAUUUAUUCAAACUUUUCUCUCUAAUCUUCAACUUUUUACUUCAGUUUUCAGCCCAAAAAAAUCUGCCUCGGCUGGAAACAGAUCCUAGAUCUAGACCUAGACCCUGCAAACAUUAUUCAAAUUUUGAUUUUAAGCGUAAACAUAGAACAAAAAUAUACACUUUAUAUAUAUAAAUUGUAUAAAUGAGAUUGCUUUUGCAAAACGAAAAACUAUUUAUUAAAACUUGAAAGUAUAAUAUAACCUCUAAAAGACGAUGUGAAUCUUAACUGGAGCAAAGAAACAAAGUUGCUCUGUCUCGGUUAGUAGGAAGCCUAAAAAUCACCACUUCUGCUGCCGGAGCGGCGAGAACUCGCAGGAAUCUGACUUGAAACGCCGGAAACUGACUAUAACGCCAGAAUCUUACCCUAAACUCGACCUUUUCUUUUCUUUCCGAUUACCCAAAUCGGAAUUUCAUCCACAUAGUCCUUAUCUUUCAUCUACAAUCCCAUUUUCCCAUCUUUUCUUACUGAACUUUAGCACAUAUGAACUACUUUAUUGGAUUUAAUUGAAUUUCAUUUGGGAGUAGCAGACUCGUGUAGUGAUAAAGAUGAGACCUACUCAUUUAAUAUGGAUAACAAAAGCAUUCAACGUGUAAUAUUUAAUAUUUUGCCAGCAG
rnacentral:lncRNA from 1 species